rnacentral:rRNA from 1 species
GAUCAUGGCUCAGGAUGAACGCUAGCUACAGGCUUAACACAUGCAAGUCGAGGGGCAGCAUGACCUAGCAAUAGGUUGAUGGCGACCGGCGCACGGGUGAGUAACACGUAUCCAACCUACCGGUUAUUCCGGGAUAGCCUUUCGAAAGAAAGAUUAAUACCGGAUAGUAUAACGAGAAGGCAUCUUUUUGUUAUUAAAGAAUUUCGUAUAACCGAUGGGGAGUGCGUUCCAUUAGUUUGUUGGCGGGGUAACGGCCC